AUUGAACGCUGGCGGCAGGCCUAACACAUGCAAGUCGAGCGGUAGCACAGAGAGCUUGCUCUCGGGUGACGAGCGGCGGACGGGUGAGUAAUGUCUGGGAAACUGCCUGAUGGAGGGGGAUAACUACUGGAAACGGUAGCUAAUACCGCAUAAUGUCGCAAGACCAAAGUGGGGGACCUUCGGGCCUCAUGCCAUCAGAUGUGCCCAGAUGGGAUUAGCUAGUAGGUGGGGUAACGGCUCACCUAGGCGACGAUCCCUAGCUGGUCUGAGAGGAUGACCAGCCACACUGGAACUGAGACACGGUCCAGACUCCUACGGGAGGCAGCAGUGGGGAAUAUUGCACAAUGGGCGCAAGCCUGAUGCAGCCAUGCCGCGUGUGUGAAGAAGGCCUUCGGGUUGUAAAGCACUUUCAGCGGGGAGGAAGGCGAUAAGGUUAAUAACCUUGUCGAUUGACGUUACCCGCAGAAGAAGCACCGGCUAACUCCGUGCCAGCAGCCGCGGUAAUACGGAGGGUGCAAGCGUUAAUCGGAAUUACUGGGCGUAAAGCGCACGCAGGCGGUCUGUCAAGUCGGAUGUGAAAUCCCCGGGCUCAACCUGGGAACUGCAUUCGAAACUGGCAGGCUAGAGUCUUGUAGAGGGGGGUAGAAUUCCAGGUGUAGCGGUGAAAUGCGUAGAGAUCUGGAGGAAUACCGGUGGCGAAGGCGGCCCCCUGGACAAAGACUGACGCUCAGGUGCGAAAGCGUGGGGAGCAAACAGGAUUAGAUACCCUGGUAGUCCACGCCGUAAACGAUGUCGAUUUGGAGGUUGUGCCCUUGAGGCGUGGCUUCCGGAGCUAACGCGUUAAAUCGACCGCCUGGGGAGUACGGCCGCAAGGUUAAAACUCAAAUGAAUUGACGGGGGCCCGCACAAGCGGUGGAGCAUGUGGUUUAAUUCGAUGCAACGCGAAGAACCUUACCUGGUCUUGACAUCCACAGAACUUUCCAGAGAUGGAUUGGUGCCUUCGGGAACUGUGAGACAGGUGCUGCAUGGCUGUCGUCAGCUCGUGUUGUGAAAUGUUGGGUUAAGUCCCGCAACGAGCGCAACCCUUAUCCUUUGUUGCCAGCGGUUAGGCCGGGAACUCAAAGGAGACUGCCAGUGAUAAACUGGAGGAAGGUGGGGAUGACGUCAAGUCAUCAUGGCCCUUACGACCAGGGCUACACACGUGCUACAAUGGCAUAUACAAAGAGAAGCGACCUCGCGAGAGCAAGCGGACCUCAUAAAGUAUGUCGUAGUCCGGAUUGGAGUCUGCAACUCGACUCCAUGAAGUCGGAAUCGCUAGUAAUCGUAGAUCAGAAUGCUACGGUGAAUACGUUCCCGGGCCUUGUACACACCGCCCGUCACACCAUGGGAGUGGGUUGCAAAAGAAGUAGGUAGCUUAACCUUCGGGAGGGCGCUUACCACUUUGUGAUUCAUGACUGGGGUGA
rnacentral:rRNA from 1 species